CCUUCAUUAUCAAAGUGCAUGCUCUGAAUCAGAUUACAUUGCCUCAAAAGGAAAGAAAUAUGCUUGCCACACAAUCCUUAGAUGAUCAAGCAGCUGAUAUGCUUGGUCUCUUUAGUAAGACAACGACAAACAUGAUAAUUCAGCAUUUGCUUAAGAUUUCAGCAAAAUCAUAGUAAUACUUUAGGAAAUAUAAAAAAAACAUAUAAAAAAACUCGACCACAUGGGAGACUCCCCUUAGACUUUGUUCUAAGAAGGCGACAGGGGUUUCAUCAACCCUGGAGUUCAAGGCUGUAACCAUUAUGGACCGAGAAUGUUUAGUGCAACAUGUUACAUGACUUCAAGCCAAAGAAGGAUCGUUGUCUGAUUGGAUAAGAGUAAUUGGAGAACAUACCUUGGCUGCAUGUGUUGAUCUACCAGGGAUCAUUCCAGCCUCCAUGUGCAGUGAAUCAAAUCUCUGUAGCCUCUUUGGUGGCAUUUUGUGUGAUGCAUGUUCAGAGUUGGCAUCACCGUGAGCAGCUCCGUUGCUGCUUGUGUGCUGAGGUUCAGUCAUCUUGAAGGCAGUUGCUUGUGAUGCUAGAACAUGAAUAUGAACGUGUGCUUUCUUCCUUUUUCAAAGACCGGCUGGUAUGGACAUAUUCUGGGAUAAGGCUGGAUUCUUGUGCAACAAACGGAUUUCUCAUCGCAUGUUGGCAAGGUCAGAUGCUGUUAUUAUCAUUCACUUCACUUGCCAAGGUCUUCGUUCAACGCUGCAGCCGUGAACCUUGUGAUCUGCUUUACACAAACCGGGAAGGUGGCUACGUCGUGGGAGCCUGGGAGUGCAUGAUGACUUUUCUUCAUCACCAAUGGCUGUCACCUGUCACUCGUUGAUUUAGGCAAGCGUGCAUUUCUCGUUGCCAAUAUGUAAGGACUAAGCAUACGGCCAUAUGGGAUAUUUGCAGCAGUGUGUAACGGCCCAAAAGUGGCUGCCAACAGUAUUGACUUCCAAUCUUCGAUACUGUGAGCAGCUAUUGUUGGAAAAUAUCGGAGCCCCAAGUGUUCUUUGGCAACUUGGGACUUGUUUAGUUGGAGAAAAAUUUUGUCUUUGGCUACUGUAGCACUUUUGUUUGUAUUUGAUAAUUAUUGUCUGACUAUGGAAGGUUCAAAAAAUUCGUCUCGUAAA